CGCAUCUGUGCAUGCAGCAUAUCAAUAAGCGGAGGAAAAGAAACUAACAAGGAUUCCCCUAGUAACGGCGAGUGAAGCGGGAAAGAGCUCAAAUUUGAAAUCUUAAAGGGUUUCCCUUUACGAAUUGUAGUUUAAAGAAGUGUUUUCUGUUGAGGUUUUGGUAAAAGUUCUUUGGAAUAGGACAUCAUAGAGGGUGAGAAUCCCGUAUUUGACCUUUACUUUCAACUUUGUGAUACACUUUCAAAGAGUCGGAUUGUUUGGGAAUGCAGUCCAAAAUGGGUGGUAAAUUUCAUCUAAAGCUAAAUAUUGGCGAGAGACCGAUAGCGAACAAGUACCGUGAGGGAAAGAUGAAAAGAACUUUGAAAAGAGAGUUAAACAGUACGUGAAAUUGUCAAAAGGGAAGCGUUUGACACCAGUGUUGUUUUUCUGAAAAUCAAUUAAAGAACUGUUUAUGCUAAGUUGUUUAGACUUUAUCAGCUAACUGUUUAGCUUUUGAGCUUUUCUUUAAUGCACUUUUCAGUUAACAAGUCAACAUCAAUUUCUUUUGCUGUAAAAAAGCUUGAGGAAGGUGGCUUGAGAUUCGUCUUAAGUGUUUAUAGCCUCUUGCCUAUGCAGUCGGAGAGAUUGAGGUCUGCAGCUGUAGAUCCUUCGGGGCUAAAUGCAUUUGUGCUAAGUUAUAGCAUUUUAUAGACAACUUGUUGACUAUGAUUUGUCUUGUAGCUUACUCGCUUAUGUUAUUUUACCUACGCUUAGGAUGUUGACAGCAGUAUAGACUGU
rnacentral:rRNA from 1 species